rnacentral:rRNA from 1 species
CCAAUAGCGUAUAUUAAAGUUGUUGCAGUUAAAAAGCUCGUAGUUGAAUUUCGGGAUCAAUUUGCUGGUCGUGCCUCUGGUACGUACUGGUAUUAUUGGUUUCUCCCUUCUGACGAACCAUGAUGUCAUUAAUUUGAUGUCGUGGAGAAUCAGGACUGUUACUUUGAAAAAAUUAGAGUGUUUAAAGCAGGCAUUAGCUAGAAUACAUUAGCAUGGAAUAAUGAAAUAGGACGUUUGAUCCUAUUUUGUUGGUUUCUAGGAUUGACGUAAUGAUUAAUAGGGAUAGUUGGGGGCAUUAGUAUUCAAUUGUCGGAGGUGAAAUUCUUGGAUUUAUUGAAGACUAACUACUGCGAAAGCAUUUGCCAAGGAUGUUAUCAUUAAUCAAGAACGAAAGUUAGGGGAUCGAAGACGAUCAGAUACCGUCGUAGUCUUAACCAUAAACUAUGCCGACUAGGGAUCGGAUGAUGUUAAUUUUUUAAUGACUCAUUCGGCGCCUUACG